UCCAAGGACAUGUUUUCACUAAGAAAAUUAUGAAUAAAAAGGUGAAUCGAGCACUUAUCUGCAAAAGUUCCCGGAGUGUUGGACACCACAGGCACUGUAAACUCCGACAGAAACUCGUAACAACGGUAUUACCUCUUCAGUAUAAACAAAUACAACAGCUUUCUGGCCCGUAAGCUACUGAAAAGUUGUCAUCCAGUACAAAAUGCACAUUGGUUGUGGCGGGUCCUCCUGCGCCCAAUCAAAAAAAGAACGUAUAUCAUUCAUAUUGCCCUGCAUAUGCAGGAUUCUCGAUCGUACAUAUUACGCGUGCGUUUGGUUUGGUUUGUUUUCAAUAUAAAGCUGACUAGUAAAAUUAAGUCAGACUAUUUAGCAAGGCACACAAAUACACAAUACAACAGUCAUGAACCAAGCAAGCAAGCAAUCACAGAUUCACACAAACAAACAAUCGAGUGAAACCUCACCCUAUAGUAGCAAGCGCACAAAGAUCGCAUGCACCGCCGCCGCUCUUUCCUCCUCAACCGCCGCAUAGAGCUCGCCAGCACCACAACUCUUUCCUCCCCAACCGCCGCGCAGAGCGUGCGAGCGCCUCCAGGCGACCGCAGGCACUCGCACAUGGCGGCAAGAGCUCGACCGCGGCACGGAGCUCCACCGCAGGCCACUGCACGGGAGCACCACAGCAUGCCUUCCAAGUCCGAAUAGGACCUCUGCCUCCUCGACCACUGAAAGCUCCAAUGCAGCCAGAUCUAAGUGACGAGGGGAGGCUGGAGGUGGUGCGGCCCAUGUGAAGGAAGGGGGGAAAGGGGGUAGUGACACGAUACGAGAGGCUU
rnacentral:lncRNA from 1 species